rnacentral:lncRNA from 1 species
UCCACCCUUGGAUCUUCAAUGGAUGGCUCCUUGAUUUCUCACAAAAAUCCAAGCUUUGUCUUUGAUCUUAUCUUGAAUAGUGUUUUUCUUGGAUAGAGUUUGUUGGAGAAUCUUAUCUUUGUAUAAAUUCAAACUUGAAUAGUGUUUUGUCCCCUUGGAAUAUUAUACCUUGAAUAAAGUGUCAAAAGAUAAUAAUAAUAAUAAUAUUCAAGGUAAAAAU